UAAGCCCCGGAAGUACUUGUUGCCUGAGCAGCGUGCUGCUUAGGAAGAGAAGGUCAGAGGUCGCGGGGCAGAGGCGUUCCAGCCGCUGGCCCAGUCACUAUGUAGUGGAGGGGCAGACACCCUCUCACAAAUUCUGGAAGGUUCUUAGUCUCGACUAGGGAAGUAGCCCCAGGACUCCUAGUCGCCGGCUUCAGGUCACUGCCGGCUGAACGGAGCUGCCGUCGCCAUGUUUGGCUGCUUGGUGGCGGGGAGGCUGGUGCAAACAGCUGCACAGCAAGUGGCAGAGGAUAAAUUUGUUUUUGACUUACCUGAUUAUGAAAGUAUCAACCAUGUUGUGGUUUUUAUGCUGGGAACAAUCCCAUUUCCUGAGGGAAUGGGAGGAUCUGUCUACUUUUCUUAUCCUGAUUCCAAUGGAAUGCCAGUAUGGCAACUCCUAGGAUUUGUCACGAAUGGGAAGCCAAGUGCCAUCUUCAAAAUUUCAGGUCUUAAAUCUGGAGAAGGAAGCCAACAUCCUUUUGGAGCCAUGAAUAUUGUCCGAACUCCAUCUGUUGCUCAGAUUGGAAUUUCAGUGGAAUUAUUGGACAGUAUGGCUCAGCAGACUCCCGUAGGUAAUGCUGCUGUAUCCUCAGUUGACUCAUUCACUCAGUUCACACAAAAGAUGUUGGACAAUUUCUACAAUUUUGCUUCAUCAUUUGCUGUCUCUCAGGCCCAGAUGACACCAAGCCCAUCUGAAAUGUUCAUUCCAGCAAAUGUGGUUCUGAAAUGAUAUUUCUUUUCACUUUGAGUAUCCUAGUGAUGGGAGGAUGCCUAGGAAGAGUUUGUUGAGAAGUGGUACCAUGGUGUAGCAUGGACAGCAUUGGAAUGCACUAGGUAUGAAAACUUUCAAAGACGACUAGCACAGAACCCUCUCUUUUGGAAAACAUAAUUUGAAUAAAAUAAUUUUUAAUGGAUUCUGUAAUUUGUCAUGUUUUGAAGAUAACUGACUCUAUCUGAAAGUACGAAGUCAAAGGAUCAUGAAACCUAAGUGUAAAAACUGCUUAGUGACUGAAGCUUAAUUAAAAAUCUUUAUUAAAAAUUAAGAACAUUGAAAAAUGAAAAUAUGUUCAUCAUUAAAGACUUUUUUCCCCUUAAGCUUAAAAUACUAUUCAGGGGCAAAACAUUUUGUUUUGGCUAUGAUUCAUUUUUUUACUUAAAAAUAAAGCCUAUGCCCAACAGUAGUGUGCCAAGUA